GCCUGUUGCACAAAAGUAGAAUUAAGACAUCCGGGAUAAAUGACUCAGCUGAGCUCAAUGAAGCCAAAACAUGUGCGUCCAGGCUUAAUUGGUUGCACAAAGACCUAGCCAGGAUGAGCAGACACGGAUUCAUUAAACCAGGUGAAACCAAUCCUGGAUAGGUGCGCGCUCACGGCUCACUCAAAUAGACCCCGCCACAGAUCACAGAUUAACUGAUUUACCAUGGCAACUAGAGCCGCGUACUUUUCCCCGUCGGAAGCACAAAUCCUCAUGGAGGCAUACGAGGAGGUAAAAGAUAUAAUUAAGAAGAAAGGCAACACCGCCACAGUGAUAAAGCAAAGAGAAAAAGCGUGGCAAAGUAUUGCAGACCGCCUGAAUGCGUAAGUAGUGCACAAUUACACACUCACCGCUCCGCUGAAACAUCACAAUUACAAUUCAAAUAUUUAAUUCACAUCUCCAAAAAUGCAGUUGUACUGUAAUUAUGAAACGGUUAAAUUUUUAAUUGAAAUGCACUGCAGAUAUGAGUGAAAUUGUGUAAAGUAACUCCAUCACACUGUAUAAAGCUAUGAUAAUUUUUUUGAUAUUUUUACUGAAAACAAGACAAAAAUACCAAGUAAUUUUUUGCAGUGUGACUCCAUUAAAUGUGUGUGUGUGUGUGUGUGUGUGUGUGUGUGUGUGUGUGUGUAGAUUAAACAUGAACGGGCCAAAACGGACAUGGCAGCAGGUCAAAAUCAAAUACAAGAACAUUCUGCAGAAUGCAGUGAAAAAGAAUACCCACAGACAAGGCACGGGUGGUGGGUCACCAAAGGCUGACCUUACCCCAGCAGAGGACAUUGGAGCUAAAUAAAGGCAGGCCCGUCUUAGAGGGGAUCCCUGGGGGGAAAGAGACGAGCAUAGGUUCCUCCCAAGAUGCCACCCGCUUCAUUCAAGUGCCUGGCAGCACUGUGUUCCUGUUAGAGCCACCAGCACAAGCACCAGACGAUGCUGAUCCAGGUGAAGGCCCCAGUGCAGCAGCAACAGCACAUGAUGGAGACGAUGAUGAGGAGGAGACCAUCUCUCUGAUUCCAGAAGGCAUGAGGUAUCAUGUUAAGACUGUGAAAGUACUAUUUACUCUACAAUGGUGAGGAGUCCUCAUCAAAAUCAAAAAAUCUAAUUUCUUUUACAGGACCCAGAUGCUAUACAGUGGGAAAACCAGCCUGGCAACAUAGUGCGUAUUAAUAAAAGGACACCACAUCCUGCCAAAUUCCAGCUGCGCUAAUUGUAUUGUGUUCACAGAGCUCACAAGCUAUCAGAAAGUUGUAUGGCAACCACCUCCGGCGCCAAAUAGAACUGGCAGACAUAGACAUUCAGUACAAGAAGAAAAAGAUGGAAAAUCUUGCACUGGAGUCCGAAAUAAAAAAGAGGACAAUUAGGAAACUGGACCUUGAAAUAAAAAAACUUGAGAGGGAGGUGAGAUAUGCCUUCAAUGUACACUGUAUGCUAACUGUAACACAAAUGUAUUAAUCAUUAUUUUUCUUUCCUCCCCAGCUCCAAGAAGAUGACACAGC